rnacentral:rRNA from 1 species
AGGACGAACGCUGGCGGCGUGCUUAACACAUGCAAGUCACGGGGGUCCCGCAAGGGAUAACCGGCGAACGGGUGCGUAACACGUGAACAACCUGCCCUCGUGUGGGGGAUAGCCGGGCUAACGCCCGGGUAAUACCGCAUACGUUCUCUUUGGGAGUCCCGAGGAGAGGAAAGCUCCGGCGCACGGGGAGGGUUCGCGGCCUAGUCAGCUAGUUGGCGGGUAAUGGCCCACAAGGCGACGACGGGUAGCUGGUCUGAGAGGAUGGCCAGCCGCAUUGGGACUGAGAGACGGCCCAGACUCCUACGGGAGCAGCAGUGGGGAAUCGUUGCGCAAGUGGUACUAACGACUGACGCGAGCGACGCCGCGUGGUGGGAGGACCGUCCGUUUCGGGGG